rnacentral:rRNA from 1 species
GGCACAAGCGGUGGAGUAUGUGGUUUAAUUCGAUGCAACGCGAGGAACCUUACCUGGUCUUGACAUCCCGGAGACCCUUAGGAAACUAGGGGGUGCUUCCACCUGGAAGAAUCUGGAGACAGGUGCUGCAUGGCUGUCGUCAGCUCGUGUCGUGAGAUGUUGGGUUAAGUCCCGCAACGAGCGCAACCCUUGCCUUUAGUUGCCAGCAGUUCGGCUGGGCACUCUAAAGGGACUGCCGGUGUUAAACCGGAGGAAGGUGGGGAUGACGUCAAGUCCUCAUGGCCUUUAUGACCAGGGCUACACACGUACUACAAUGGCCGAUACAAAGGGCAGCGACACUGCGAGGUGAAGCCAAUCCCGUAAAAUCGGUCUCAGUCCGGAUUGGAGUCUGCAACUCGACUCCAUGAAGUUGGAAUCGCUAGUAAUCGUGGAUCAGCAUGCCACGGUGAAUACGUUCCCGGGCCUU